UCCGGUGGCCGCGGGGUCCGGCGGCCGCGGGGUCCGGCGGGGCACCCCGCUGCUGGCCGCCCGCUCGCUCCGUGCGGACUCUGGUUGGGCCAGGCGAAGGACGCCCAGUGGAGAGCCCCCGUCGGUUCCCGUCACCACGGUGGCCGAGCGGGCCCAUCCGGAGCCUCACCCGCCGCGCGCUGAGCCCCGAGAGCGGCCCUGGCGCGCGGGGCCUGCACCGAGGCCCCGGCACUGUGGACUUGUCGUAGGUUCCCUCGGUGUUUCGUUUUGCUUUAGUUUUUAUCCCCCCCCCCAGGCCCUUCUCACUCAGAUCUCGGGCGAAGUAGUUAACCGUAGUAGGAUUUUUGAGACCUUUUGUAGCACUUAGUUCCGGGAAGAAACUAGUGGAGGAGGUAGGCGUCCAUUCUCCCAUUUCACAGGUGGAGAAACUGAGAGUGAGAAACUUCAGAAGUAUCCUAGGAAGAUAAUAGUUUUAUUUACUAAGCAAUUAAAUUUGCCCAGCAUACUGUGACGUAUACAUGAUCUCAUUUAAGUUAACUUUUAGAAAUAAGACCUCUAUUUUAUACAACA